GCCGUGCCUAUCCAUCGGCUGAUCCCCGAGGGAGAAAACCGGGCCCCUUCACCCGGCUGGCGCGGCACCCCAAACGAAGG
rnacentral:sRNA from 12 species